rnacentral:lncRNA from 1 species
UCAAUUGACAAUUGGGCAAAAACUAUGAUCCUCUGAAACACUUCGGGGAAACAUGAAUCGGGGAUAUCUCGAUCAUACAUUGGCAGAAAACAUGCUUAAGCAUUCCACAUGGCAACUAUCUUCUUCACACGUUGUGGCAUCUCUUUACGAUUUCAUUUAGUCUCACUUGAUUUCGCUCCUAUAAGACGAGUGAUGGAUCUUCCUCCUCGGGAGAAUGGAGCUUCAAGAAACAAGGUACCUGCAACGCCGGGAGGGGUUCCCGGCGGGAAAGCUCCGAUGAUCAAGUC